rnacentral:rRNA from 1 species
UACGGGGGGGGCUAGUGUUAUUCGGAAUGACUAGGCGUAAAGGGCAUGUAGGCGGUUGAUACGGUCAAAAAGUGCCAAGCCACCAGCUCAACUGGUGGAAUGCUCGGACCCAUUGACUUGAGUAAGAUAGAGGAAGGUGGAAUUUCGUGUGUAGAGAUCAAAUUCACAGAUAUACGAAGGAACGCCGCUAAGCGCAGGCAAUCUUCUGGGUCUUUACUGACGCUGAGGUGCGAAAGCAUGGGUAGCAAACAGG